AAUUAUUGAGGUCGGAAAUGGCUCCCGACGCACCUUUACGGUAUUUGAGAUGUAGGAUACGCCGCCCUACCUAUAAUU
rnacentral:ncRNA from 12 species